AGAAAACAUGGAUGUCAGGCAAACAUUCUGAUUAUGUAAAGAGAACAUUUCAGAAAAGUCCGAGGUGAGUAGGACUCCAGCGACCAAGCAGGAAGUACAUAAACCCUUCUGCCCAAGUUGAGAAGUACAGCUGAUGAUGAAGAAACUUUCAACUGAAGUGUAAAACCAUGACACAUUUUGCUGUCUGCAUUCUACCAAAACAUAGAUUCAUUUCUUUCAUGAAAUGGAAAUAAAAUUUCAGGAGGCCAAGGAAAAGAGAUAUUUUGGAGCAUAGAUAAUGUGCAAGAGGAAUCACGGAAGCACAGACUCAAAUGUAUAUCAACUAGUGUUUCCAGCUCCGCCCAAGCAUGAAGGAGGAAUUCUGUAUCAUUAUCUAGACAAACCUUUUCUGGAAAAUACAGGUGGCUUAUAGAAUCACUAAAAGAGAAAAAAAAAAUCAUCCCACGACACUGUCAGCAGACAUGUGCGAUAGUUUAUUCCCCUGCCAUUUGUACACCAGAAAUGUCAAUUUACAAAUACCGUUGUGCCUGUGACUGCUAGGAAUAAGGUUGCAGAGCCAUGCCGGCUCACUAUUCUACUAUUAGUACCCGGCUACUAUUUCUAUUUAUGGACAGAUAAUCCAUAAAAUGAGAGCUUGGACCAGUGCAGAGUAUUUCAGCUCUUACUGCAUCCACAAGAGUAGAAACCCCAGUGACGGAAAGGCCACAGAUGCCAAACAUACAGCAAACGCUCUUCGUAAUGACAUCCUUGAAGCAAUGAGUGCACCAUAGAAAAAUUCUGAGACUGUGAUCUGGAAAACAGCAAGGACAGGUGCGGAGAUGGUAGGGACACACACACUCAGCCUAUGAGGAAUGGCUAGAGGCUAAAGACUUAAGCAUUACAACUCAGAGGGAAGUUUUAAAAAUAGAAAUGAUAUUAUUUCUCAGCUUUGAUGAUUAAAAAUGAAAAAAUUAAAUGGGAAUAUUUAGUCAGUAAUCAUAAACUAAAUAACAACAAAGAAUAACAAAGAGCAAUUGGCACCACAGAACAAUACAAAUAUUUCUGUAGGGAAGGAGAUCUAAUGAUAGAGCUUUAGCUGGCACUGAAUUAAGUAGAGUAAACAUGGUCAUGGAUUCUAAAACUUGCUUGGGAAAAGAAUUUAAAGCUGU